rnacentral:rRNA from 1 species
UACGGGGGGGGCAAGCGUUGUUCGGAAUUACUGGGCGUAAAGGGCUCGUAGGUGGCCAACUAAGUCAGACGUGAAAUCCCUCGGCUUAACCGGGGAACUGCGUCUGAUACUGGAUGGCUUGAGUUCGGGAGAGGGAUGCGGAAUUCCAGGUGUAGCGGUGAAAUGCGUAGAUAUCUGGAGGAAUACCGGUGGCGAAGGCGGCAUCCUGGACCGAGAUUGACGCUGAUGAGCGAAAGCCAGGGGAGCAAACGGG